GCGGCUGGACGCCGCGGGGGCGGGAGAAGCGGCGCCGAGAGGCCGCAGCCGGCGGGGGGCGGGAACCCGAGGGGUGCGGGCGCCGCCCUCUCCCUGCUCGCGCGCGCCUCGGACACGGUCGUCUCACGUCUGAAAAAUUCAGCCAGCUUCCCAGUUUUGUUUCUGCGGGGGCAGUAGCAGGCCGAUGUUGGAGGGAAACGUAGCCAUAUCUGUACAUAAUAUUCCGAGGUUCGUCUUUUAAGGGCAGAUUUGGGAGACUCGUAAGAAACAGUACAGUAUUCCUAAGGCAAAAAUGGUCCGUGCAUUUAAAUGCUAAGAAUUAGAACAAAUCAAUUAAUGUUGGUGAAAUGGCUUUGCUAACUGCAAAAUAUAUUAUUAAUUGUUAAUUAUUCACCAUUAAAACAGGAAGCCCCAAAUGGACAAAUAGUAAGAUGGUUCAGUCAAUAGUUUGUAACUUGUUUGAUAGGUGCAGGGCAUUCAGUAUUGUAUUUUCUAUUCUGUUUAUCAGAUGAUACUGGAAAACAGAGAGGGAAAGAAUCUGGAGGGAUUCUGCUAAAUGCAUACGACAGCGGCCCACGGGGAGCCUUGGAAGCUGCUGCCGCAGGGCAUCGUGAGAGCACCCUUCGGCGUAUCACUAGCCUGGGAACAGAUCCAGUUCCAAGGACGGUGUCUACUCAAUGCCUGUCGCUCUCACACCAGCAUAAAGUCAAAAAAAUCGUGACAAAGGAUAUCACAGCACCUGCCUUGUUACUCUCUCACUCUUGGAUCACUCACUUUGGAGGAAGUCAGCUGCCAUCUCAUGAGCAAGCCCAUGGAGGAGCCCACGUGGAGAGGAACUGGAGCCUCUUGCCAUUGGACAUGCGAGCAAGCCUAGAAGCAGAGCCUCUAGCUCCAGGUGAGUUGUCAGAUGACUGCAGCUCUAGCUGCCAUCUUGGUUGCAAGCUCAUGUGGAUCCCUGAGCCAGAAGCAGUUAAGCCACCCCUGAACCCACUCCCAGAACCUGGGAGAUAAUUUGUUAACAAUAGAUCAAUAAUUCUGAGACUUUUUGAAACUUACUAAUAGUCAGAAAGCUAGUGUCCAACUUAAAAUGAGAACAGAGGGCUGCAGGCUCUCAACUCAAUAUUCUGUUAGAUAUGCUGUAUUCUGAUAUAUCUUGGACUUCUUUUGUACUGAACACAUGCACUACCUAAAAAAGGUUCAGUGGAUCACAGUUUUGCUUUUUCAUCAAUGAAAGAAAGAAAGAAAGAGAGA